UACAGAGGUCUCAAGCGUUGUUCGGAUUCAUUGGGCGUAAAGGGUGCGUUAGGUGGCGCCGUAAGUCGGGUGUGAAAUUUCGGAGCUUAACUCCGAAACUGCAUUCGAUACUGCGGUGCUUGAGGACUGGAGAGGAGACUGGAAAUUCAUGGUGUAGCAGUGAAAUGCGUAGAGAUCAUGAGGAAGACCAGUGGCGAAGGCGGGUCUCUGGACAGUUCCUGACGCUGAGGCACGAAGGCCAGGGGAGCAAACGGG
rnacentral:rRNA from 1 species